ensembl:lincRNA
GGGAGCAGUUAUUGGUAAAGUUAAAUUCAUCACAUCAAAGCCAAUUACUUUUUAUUUUUUAUUUUGAAAAAUGAAAAGUAACUUGAGAGAUUAUUUGUACUUUAUCGUCUCAAAGAAGUCAAUAUCUAAAAAUCUAAUCUUUCUGUAAUAGUUAUAAUAGGGAAGUACCAUUUUGUUUUUUGUUCGUUUUGGGAAGAGCUACGGGAAUAGAGAACUGCAAUCCCCAUAGUAGAAUGGUUGAGUUUUUGCUGGUAUUUUGCUAACAGAUAUUUCUUGCUUUCUGUUCUAUACAGAAUAAUAAAUCAUGAAGCUAGACUUUUUGUGUCAUAUGGUGAGGUAAUACAUUGAGGAAGAACAUCUUGGGAAAAACGGUUAAUGUAAAAAAGAAUUCUUUUUUCAUUGUCUUUUAUUCCUAAAGGAUUAUUAGAGCUUCAUUCUUAGCAUUGAUCAGGGUAUAAAGAAACCCUAAUGUCAUUUUAUUUUCAAAAAGAAACCCCUCUUUUUGCCUAAUGAGCCCAACCAUAUCUAACAGAAAUGCUUCUGUGACAUCAGUGGGCCUUCCUUGUCCAGAGGCCAGGGUCACCACAGCAGUACCAUCUUCCUUGCCAAAAACGGAACAAAGAACGCGAGAAAGAAUGAUGAUAUUCAGCUGAUGGAGAAAGGCCAAAAUGUCCCAACAAAGAAAUCUGUUGUGUCAGAAGGGAACUCUGCCAUGCGGACUUCACAGCACCAGGAUCACAAGAAGCUCUAAGACUUUCCGGGGGUUUAGUAUACCACUGCCUGCAAGUGGUGAGAAGAUAUCAAUAUUUAUUCAGGCACUGUUCCAGACCCUGGAGAUGUGGAGUCCCAGUCCUCUGAGAGCAAACAAGCAGUUAUAAUACCAUGUGACGAUUGCCAUAAUCCAGGUGAAUACUCUUUAAAAAACGCUUAUAUACCAGACUAUGAUACGUAGACUAUCUCAGCACAUUCAAAAGAGCAGAAAUUGUACAGAUGACAUUUCAGACCACAGUGCAGUACAAUGAAAGAUGAUUAACACCGUUUUAAGAAUACGUGAUGAUCUAUAACAAAAGGUUACUACAUAUUUAAUUACUCUCUGGAUGGGCAAUGGC